rnacentral:rRNA from 1 species
GCAUAUCAAUAAGCGGAGGAAAAGAAACCAACAGGGAUUGCCCCAGUAACGGCGAGUGAAGCGGCAACAGCUCAAAUUUGAAAUCUGGCCCCUAGGGUCCGAGUUGUAAUUUGUAGAGGAUGCUUUUGGUGAGGUGCCGCCCGAGUUCCCUGGAACGGGACGCCACAGAGGGUGAGAGCCCCGUCUGGCUGGCCACCGAGCCUCUGUAAAGCUCCUUCGACGAGUCGAGUAGUUUGGGAAUGCUGCUCAAAAUGGGAGGUAUAUGUCUUCUAAAGCUAAAUAUUGGCCAGAGACCGAUAGCGCACAAGUAGAGUGAUCGAAAGAUGAAAAGCACCUUGAAAAGAGGGUUAAAUAGUACGUGAAAUUGUUGAAAGGGAAGCGCUUGUGACCAGACUUGGGCGCGGCGGAUCAUCCGGGGUUCUCUCCGGUGCACUUCGCCGCGUCUAGGCCAGCAUCAGUUCGUCGCGGGGGAAAAAGGCUUCGGGAACGUGGCUCCUCCGGGAGUGUUAUAGCCCGUUGCAUAAUACCCUGCUUUGGACUGAGGACCGCGCAUCUGCAAGGAUGCUGGCGUAAUGGUCACCAGCGACCCGUCUUGAAACACGGACCAAGGAGUCGUCUUCGUAUGCGAGUGUUCGGGUGUCAAACCCCUACGCGUAAUGAAAGUGAACGCAGGUGAGAGCUUCGGCGCAUCAUCGACCGAUCCUGAUGUUCUCGGAUGGAUUUGAGUAAGAGCAUACGGGGCCGGACCCGAAAGAAGGUGAACUAUGCCUGUAUAGGGUGAAGCCAGAGGAAACUCUGGUGGAGGCUCGCAGCGGUUCUGACGUGCAAAUCGAUCGUCAAAUAUGGGCAUGGGGGCGAAAGACUAAUCGAACCUUCUAGUAGCUGGUUUCCGCG